rnacentral:rRNA from 1 species
GGGUGAGUAAUGCCUAGCGAAUCUGCCUGGUAGUGGGGGAUAACGUUCGGAAACGGACGCUAAUACCGCAUACGUCCUACGGGAGAAAGCAGGGGACCUUCGGGCCUUGCGCUAUCAGAUGAGCCUAGGUCGGAUUAGCUAGUUGGUGGGGUAAUGGCUCACCAAGGCGACGAUCCGUAACUGGUCUGAGAGGAUGAUCAGUCACACUGGAACUGAGACACGGUCCAGACUCCUACGGGAGGCAGCAGUGGGGAAUAUUGGACAAUGNGCGAAAGCCUGAUCCAGCCAUGCCGCGUGUGUGAAGAAGGUCUUCGGAUUGUAAAGCACUUUAAGUUGGGAGGAAGGGUUGUAGAUUAAUACUCUGCAAUUUUGACGUUACCGACAGAAUAAGCACCGGCUAACUCUGUGCCAGCAGCCGCGGUAAUACAGAGGGUGCAAGCGUUAAUCGGAAUUACUGGGCGUAAAGCGCGCGUAGGUGGUUAGUUAAGUUGGAUGUGAAAUCCCCGGGCUCAACCUGGGAACUGCAUUCAAAACUGACUGACUAGAGUAUGGUAGAGGGUGGUGGAAUUUCCUGUGUAGCGGUGAAAUGCGUAGAUAUAGGAAGGAACACCAGUGGCGAAGGCGACCACCUGGACUGAUACUGACACUGAGGUGCGAAAGCGUGGGGAGCAAACAGGAUUAGAUACCCUGGUAGUCCACGCCGUA